UUGAGUUUGAUCACCACCGGAAAUAGAAUAUAUUCAAAGAGCGCCAGGAAGUGUUGAACGGCGCUCCGGAUUGGAUACCAAGAUGCCAAGCCUGGGAAGAAGCGGCAGCUCUGCAGCUACAUGUCCUCCCAAGACCUCAAAUUACUGAAAAGGUCUUUCAUUUUAUUUGCAGAGAAUGCAUACUCAAAGGCUUUAUAGUGGGCUAGGUAGUGGGAAUGUGGAGUUGUAAGGGUUGCACAGAAACGGUGUCAAGUAGGUCCAAUCUUUUGCAUCACUACAAGUUAAAGCAUCCACAUUUUGGACGUAGUUCUCGCUUACCAUGUACAUACCUGCACUGUCAAUGCACAUUUAAGACAUGGAAUGCCCUUAUAGUCCACCAAAGUAAAAUUCACUCCACAGGGGUCACUUGCAAAGAGGAAGCAAUAUUCAAUUGCCAACUCUGUGCUUGUAGUGAUUUAGCAUCAGAGAGGGAUUAUUUUGCUCAUAUAAAUGCACAUCUCAAAAGAAAUGAGACUGUCAUUUGUAUGUUUUUAGGUUGCGACUUUAAAACAAACAUUUAUUGCACAUUUAAAUCACACAAAAACCGAAAGCACUGCCAUCACACUUUGGUUGAUUUUAAACCUGGAGUAGUUAUACGUACUGGGAUAUCAUCUGUGAAUGAAUUGGAGGAAAAUACUCAGGAGUUUGUCGAACAGUCAAAUGUGGCCAUUCCUUCAAACAGUCCCUCUCAAACUGAGGACUUGCAGAAGAUCAUAGAGCAAAGAUUUGCAGCUGCUUUGCUGAAGUUGGAGCAUUUGGACCAUGUGCCCAGCACAGCUGUUGAUGUGUUUUUAGGAGAACUCCAUCAUUUGACUUAUUCUGCACCUGUUCCAUUAUCUUGUGACAUUGUGAGUUAGAUCUUUCAUCAGAGAAACCUCCCUCUCGAUGAACAUAUAAUCAGAGAAACUGUUAAUGCAAUUUGUUCUGGUAAUCCUAUUCAAAGGUCAAUACAAAAAGGUGGCCCUCUCAGUACCGCAUAUCAGCGUAAGAAGUAAUAUA